rnacentral:rRNA from 1 species
UUCCGGUUGAUCCUGCCGGACCCGACUGCUAUUUGGGUGAGAAUAAGACAUGCGAGUCGAAUGGGGUACCUAAAUUUCCCAUGGCAGACUGCUCAGUAACACAUGAUCAACUUACCCUAUAGAGAAAGAUAACCUCGGGAAACUGAGGAUAAUUUUUCAUAGUUGAAUCGGCUUGGAAAAGUUUUUCAAUUAAAGGGAUAAGAUAAAUGGUUCUUAUUUGCUAUAGGAUAGGAUCGUGGACGAUUAUGGUUGUUGGUGAGGUAACGGCUCACCAAGCCGAUAAUCGAUAGGGGCCGUGAGAGCGGGAGCCCCGAGAUGGGUACUGAGACAACGACCCAGGCCUUACGAGGCGCAGCAGGCGCGGAACCUCCGCAAUACACGAAAGUGUGACGGGGUUACCCAAAGUGUUCAAUCUUGAACUGUGGUAGGUGAGUAAUGUUCCCUACUAGGAAGGGGGGGGGCAAGGCUGGUGCCAGCCGCCGCGGUAAAACCAGCUCUUCAAGUGGUCGGGAUAAUUAUUGGGCUUAAAGAGUCCGUAGCCGGUUUAGUAAGUUCCUGGUAAAAUCGGGUAGCUUAACUAUCUGUAUGCUAGGAAUACUGCUAUACUAGAGGGCGGGAGAGGUCUGAGGUACUACAGGGGUAGGGGUGAAAUCUUAUAAUCCUUGUAGGACCACCAGUGGCGAAGGCGUCAGACUGGAACGCGCCUGACGGUGAGGGACGAAAGCCAGGGGAGCGAACCGGAUUAGAUACCCGGGUAGUCCUGGCCGUAAACGAUGCAUACUAGUGAUGGUACGGCCAUGAGCCGUAUCAGUGCCGUAGGGAAACCGUUAAGUGUGCCGCCUGGGAAGUACGGUCGCAAGGCUAAAACUUAAAGGAAUUGGGCGGGGGAGCACACAAGGGGUGAGGCUGCGUUCAAUUGGACUCACGGCGGA